GAGCUGCAGUCAGUGGCUGCUUUGUGAAGGAGAAAGAGUCAGUGCUGUGAGGAGCUGGUCACGAGAAACACCAAGAAGAAUUGAGUAAUCCCUUCCAGGCCAGGGAAGACUUGGAGAAGUGGACAACUGGAGAGGCAGCUGCAAAACUGUGCUGGAGGGGGCUAAAAUGACCGUGGUUAAAGUGUAGGGAGUUGCCAAUGAUGUGGUGAGGAGGGUGCAGCCUUCCCAGCUCGCUGCAGGAAUGGCUGAGGUGAAUCAAUGCCAGCACCAUGGCAUCCUCAUCCACCUCUUGAUGGCCACACUGAGCACUCCAGGGAAGCAGUGGAAAGGAGUUGCAUCCAUAUGAAACCUGUGUGCAAGAUGCUUGUUCACAGGGGAGUAAGAAAUUAACAAUAUAUUGGAAAAAUGACAAAAAAGAAAUUGAGACUUGGAAGGAAGAAGCAAUUGAGAACAAAUCUGUUCCAAGUGAGUUGCUGACCUUUCAUUUGAUAGUAAACGCACUGAGCAAAUGGCCCAAUGCCUUGUGCUGAGCUGUGCCAGCUUGUCCUGGUCCAGGCCUGCCUGUGUGCUGGGUUCAGGGCCAGGCUGACUCCCUGCCAGCUUGGGGAGGCUCAGGAGCCCUGGGCUAGGGGCAGAUCCAGCAUUUCAGCCACAAAAUGGGAAUGAGAUGCACUGUGUGGGUGAUCCUCACCUUCACAUCAGCUUAUGAAUGCAUCAGGUGAGUCAUGGUGUGUCACAAAAGUGUGUCCUUGAAUACACUGGCAGGAUGAAUUUCUGCUGGACCCUCCAGGAACAGGCUGAAAACACUGUGGGAAAUGGUAAAUGGGGAUGGAAAGUGGCCAAAGGAGUGAGAGCUCCAUCCAACUGGAUAGCCUCAGCUCUCCAAAGAAUCCAGCUCUGUGCAUGAAUGGAAGCAAGUGGUGCCCACCCCUUCCACUGAGGUUUCUUCUCAUAUUAGAAGGUCACCAAUUAUUUCUGACUGAUCAGAAUUUCUUCCAGGCUGCACAAAUUUAAUGUGGCUUUUUGUUCUGUUGUGUGGCCAUUCUUCCAAGGGGCAUCUCUUUAUUGCUGGAGCAGAUCAUGGAGGCAGCAGUGCUCCCAGGAAAGGGAGGAGGAUUUGCACAGAGAGCCUGCCUGGGAUUUAGGAAGUGAGCGGCCAAAAGAGAUUGUUUAAAGUCUGGCCUAGUAAAUGAAUGUAAUCUAUAUAAACUCUUGAUUAGGAGCUGGUUCCUCAGACUCUGAGUAUCAGAGUGAUUCGCUGGUACCAGGUUCGAUUUAUGCUGGUAGAGGAGCUGGCUCAUAUAUAUUUCCUUUUUAAUUUGCAUUUUGCUGUUUUCUGUUUCUGGGAAAUGAAUUAAGCAGAACUAAGGCCACUUAGGGAAAGUGUCUGUGUGAGUCUGGAGGAAAAUCAAGCUGGACAAAUCUGCUAGUUCAAAUUCGUAGCUGUACUGAAUUUGAAUUAGCCUUUCAAAUAUCUCGGUUUAAGCAGCUGAAAAGCUAAGCUGGAGGAACAGGGGGAAGGAGCAAGAGUAGGCUGGUUUUGUCCUUUUGCUGACAUCCCCCUUUGUUCUGUGCAUGUGGUCAGGCACUGCAUGACAGACCUGGAUUUACUGAGAAAUCAUCAACCCCAGGAAAAUAAUGAAAUUUGGGGUUAAUGCUGUCCUCACUCACAUUUGGGUUAAGCAUUUUUAUAUCAGUAUUAAAAGAAGACCAGUGGUGGAUGUGAAGGGAAGAGGCAAAACCUGAGUGUGAAUUUGCUUCCCAAGGCCUGGAGGGCAUUUUUCUUCUUGUUGAGAAAGAACCUUGGGCAGGGCUGUGCACAGUCCCUGUGUGCUGCAGCAGGACCCACAGUCCCACAAAGCCAUAGCUUCACUGGGGUACCAGGAGGUGGAGAUCUAAAAUUAAAAUAUUCUCUGAAAUGCAAACAAUGUGCUUUAUAACAAGAAAGUAUAAAUUAACUAAGGAGAAGAAAAUAGCAUCUGUUGAAAACAGAUUAGUGAGGAGUGCCUGUGGAUGCCUGGGUGGCUUUACCAAGCAGUCAAUUAGAGUCAAUUAUCAUCCUCAAACUCCUCACCCUGUGCUUAGUAUGCUUGCAGUGAGUCCAAUUUAGCUUGUGCUCUUUCAUAGGUUCACAAUUUUCUCUCUGUGUCUGAAAUGAUCUAGCUGGAGACACCAGGAAAGUGCCAAGCUUUAAGCAUAUGACAAUUGUAAUUCUUGUGACUGAAACCUGAUUUGAUUCAGUUGAAAAUGACUUCAGUGUAUUGGAUUUACGGUUCAUUUAACAAGUGCUGUAGAUGUCAAUACAUUAGUGUAAACCUGAUGCAGGUAGUAAUUUGGUUUCUAAUGAGGUUCCCCAGCAGUAUCCAACUAUGAAAAAUGGGGCAUUCUUCACUGGAGCACAAAGUGCACCUGCCUGAUGCAGAUGUUUUCUGAGGCCCUGCUACUUCACUUUCUGGGAAGAGUAUGGUGUUAUAUCUUGCUGUGGGCUUUAAAAGUGCCUUAAACUGAUAAAAUGUUAAAAGAACAGAUUGGAAAGAAUAAAAGAUUGCUCUUUUAAAGUUUUGUUUUAAUUAUAGGUUUAAAUUACAACUUUAUCUCUUGCAGUCUUAAUUGUGCAGUUGUUGCAGAUGCAAAAAUUCACCCAGAUUUAAUGGAACUUUAAAGAGAAACCUUUUAUUUUUAUGGGUCUGUGUGAUCAGGUGUUCUCCUUACCUCCCCACUGCCUUCAAACUAUUUCACUGAAUGGUUCUCCAGGUGUAGUGUGGAAAUAGCUGUAGUGCAGAGAGGCCAGGACAAAGAAGGCUGUGAUGUCUCCCUGUCUCCUGUCCUCCCCUUUCCCCUCUGGACAUGAGAUAAGUUUCAGAAAAGCAGCUGUAAAAAUAUUGUGCCCUUUCAAGGCAAAGUGUGUGGCCAAAACCUCUCACAGGAGCUCUAAGUGCCCUUUUCCCUUUGGGAGAGACCCUCCUAUGCUGGGCAGCCCACAGACAACCCUUCCUUCAGCACCUGUGCUCAAAAAAUGCUUUUAAAUAUUUUAUGUGCUGCCAAGUAGCUUUUGUUGCAGCAUUAAGCUGUUUUCUAUAGGUUGAGACAUUACUGAUCAAUAUGAGGGUGUUUGAGAGCCUGACCCCAGCAGACUGUGCUGGUGUAAGGGUACAGAAGUUAUGUUCAGUCCUACACAAAGCAGCCUUUGCCCCUCUCUCAAUUCUCCCCAUGCCUCAGCUGCAAAUACAACUCCUUUUGCUCCUCUAUACUUCUUAAUUUCCUUCCUUUGCUGUUAUUUAGCUGCUAAGUGCUACGUGCUGCAGUAGAUAAUGGAAGAAGCUAUUCAGAAUGAAAUGGCGUGGCAUUUUCUGCCCUUUUGUAAACUAUAUGAAAUAAAGAUGAACUUUUCUGCUCAUUUCAGCCAAGGCA